GAGCUUGUAGGUGGCUUGUCGCGUCUGCCGUGAAAACCCGAGGCUCAACCUCGGGCGUGCGGUGGGUACGGGCAGGCUAGAGUGUGGUAGGGGAGACUGGAACUCCUGGUGUAGCGGUGAUAUGCGCAGAUAUCAGGAAGAACACCGAUGGCGAAGGCAGGUCUCUGGGCCAUUACUGACACUGAGAAGCGAAAGCAUGGGGAGCGAACAGGAUUAGAUACCCUGGUAGUCCAUGCCGUAAACGUUGGGCACUAGGUGUGGGGAACAUUCCACGUUUUCCGCGCCGUAGCUAACGCAUUAAGUGCCCCGCCUGG
rnacentral:rRNA from 1 species